rfam:Verrucomicrobia bacterium 13_2_20CM_2_54_15 13_2_20cm_2_scaffold_5434, whole genome shotgun sequence.
UACCCCGUGGUGUAACGGUAACACAGCGCCCUUUGGAGGCGUUAUUCUUGGUUCGAAUCCAAGCGGGGUAG